rnacentral:misc_RNA from 1 species
UGGGAACAAAAGGAUCUUAAGGGAGCGCUAGAAAUUUUUGAAAAAAGAGUAAUAGAACACUUAGAGGAGUUGUUGUAUCAAAGAUGGAAAAAAUUAGAUAAAUUAUUAGAAGCGCAAAUAGAAAGGUCAAUCUCAUUACCAGAGAAUUCUUAGAGUAAUGGCAGUGAGAGGGAAUUGCUGAAUAAAAAAGGAGAGACAAGGGAUUUUGAUGUUAAGGAGCAGACUGACCUUUUUAAUGAUGCAGCAUUUCUUCAUGGCAAUGGAGACAAGGAAGAGGUUGAUAUUGUUGGGGAUGGAGAAGCAGAAAAGGUUGAUAUUAUUGAUGGAGAGGAGAUUGCCUCGGAUAAAUUAGAUUCAAUUAAAAAAUGGAAACAUCGCUAUUGAAGAUUAAGACAACAUACCUGUUGAAGUUGAGAAAGUAACAAUUGAUCCACAGCUGGGAUCAGUAGAAAAAUACAAAGAACAAUUUGGUGCUGAGAUGGAGCAAGAUUUUAUUGUUAAUAUGUCCAGUAUAGGUGAGAUACAUGAGGAUGGUGAUGAUGGCCAACUAGAGUCUUCAAUGGGGAAAAUAAGAGUUGAAUCUGAAAUAAUUGCACAUUUCAUUCACAAAACUGAACUUUUUGCUAAAGAACUUCUUGCGAAUGUUUUUGAAAACAAGAGACAUAAAAGUGUUUCAAAAAGUGUGAGUCUUAGAAGCAAGUGGCAGUAUUUGG